rnacentral:rRNA from 1 species
UACGAAGGGGGCUAGCGUUGUUCGGAAUUACUGGGCGUAAAGCGCACGUAGGCGGAUCGAUCAGUCAGGGGUGAAAUCCCAGGGCUCAACCCUGGAACUGCCUUUGAUACUGUCGAUCUGGAGUAUGGAAGAGGUGAGUGGAAUUCCGAGUGUAGAGGUGAAAUUCGUAGAUAUUCGGAGGAACACCAGUGGCGAAGGCGGCUCACUGGUCCAUUACCGACGCUGAGGUGCGAAAGCGUGGGGAGCAAACAGG